UACCCGCAGCACAAGUGGUGGUCAUUAUUAUUGGGCCUAAAGCGUCCGUAGCUGGCUUGUUAGAUGCCUGGGUAAAUCGAUGCGCUCAACGUAUCGAACACCGGGUAGACCGGCAAGCUUGGGACCGGGAGAGACGUGAGCUACUCGAGGGGUAGGGGUAAAAUCCUGUAAUCCUUCGGGGAGGACCAGUGGCGAAGGCGUCACGUUAGAACGGCUCCGACAGUGAGGGACGAAGCCCUGGGGCGCAAACCGG
rnacentral:rRNA from 1 species